AAUGAACGCUGGCGGAGUGCUUAAUACAUGCAAGUCGAGCGAGAAAGCUUCUUCGGAAGUGAGUAGAGCGGCGAACGGGUGAGUAACACGUAAAUAACCUGCCUUUAAGUCGGGGACAACAUUGCUAACGCGAUGCUAAUACCGGAUGUGAUAUUGGUUCUGCAUGGGACUGAUAUUAAAGAUGACCUCUCCUUGGAAGUUAUUGCUUAGAGAUGGAUUUGCGGACUAUUAGUUUGUUGGUGAGGUAACGGCUCACCAAGGCGAUGAUAGUUAGCCGACCUGAGAGGGUGAUCGGCCACAUUGGGACUGAGACACGGCCCAGACUCCUACGGGAGGCAGCAGUAGGGAAUAUUGCGCAAUGGACGAAAGUCUGACGCAGCAACUCCGCGUGGAGGAUGAAUGUCUUCGGAUUGUAAACUCCUUUUGUAUAGGAAGAACCUCUUGAGUGCUAAUCAGCUUGAGAUUGACGGUACUAUACGAAUAAGUCACGGCUAAAUACGUGCCAGCAGCCGCGGUAAUACGUAUGUGGCGAGCGUUAUUCGGAAUCACUGGGCGUAAAGGGUACGUA
rnacentral:rRNA from 1 species